rnacentral:tRNA from 1 species
GCGGGUGUAACUCAGUUGGUAGAGUGCCAGCCUUCCAAGCUGGAUGUCGCGCGUUCGAAUCGCGUCGCCCGCUCCA